AGUGGCGAACGGGUGCGUAACACGUGAGCAACCUGCCCUGCGGCGGGGGAUAGCCGGCCUAACGGCCGGGUAAUACCGCGUACGACCCAGUGCCCGCAUGAGCGCUGGGUGAAAGCGGCCGCAAGGUCGCACCGCAGGAGGGGCUCGCGGCCUAUCAGCUUGUUGGUGAGGUAACGGCUCACCAAGGCCACGACGGGUAGCUGGUCUGAGAGGAUGGCCAGCCACAUUGGGACUGAGAUACGGCCCAGACUCCUACGGGAGGCAGCAGUGGGGAAUAUUGCGCAAUGGCCGCAAGGCUGACGCAGCGACGCCGCGUGUGGGAUGAAGGCUUUCGGGUCGUAAACCACUGUCAGAGGGGACGAAUACCUGGCCUCGAAUAGGGGACCAGGGGUGACGGUACCCUCAGAGGAAGCACCGGCUAACUCCGUGCCAGCAGCCGCGGUAAUACGGAGGGUGCUAGCGUUGUCCGGAAUCACUGGGCGUAGAGCGCGCGUAGGCGGCUACUCAAGUCAUUUGUGAAAUCCCGGGGCUCAACUCCGGGGCUGCAAGUGAAACUGGGUGGCUAGAGCACGGUAGAGGCGAGUGGAAUUCCCGGUGUAGCGGUGGAAUGCGUAGAUAUCGGGAGGAACACCAGUGGCGAAGGCGGCUCGCUGGGCCGUAGCUGACGCUGAGGCGCGAAAGCGUGGGGAGCAAACAGGAUUAGAUACCCUGGUAG
rnacentral:rRNA from 1 species